GUGCUCGCUUCAGAGGUACCUAUACUAAAAUGGAAUGAUACGGAGAUUUAGCAUGGCCCCUGCGCAAGGAUGACACACAAAUUCGUGAAGUGUUUCAGAAUGUA